rnacentral:rRNA from 1 species
AAAAACAAUUAAAAAUCUUAAAUCCAGCCUGAUCCCGUCUGAUCUCGGAAGCUAAGCAGGGUCAUGCUUGAUUAGUACUUGAAUGGGAGACCACCUAGGAAGACCAGGUGCUGUAAGCA